CAGUCGCCGCGGGAAUACGUAGGUGGCAAGCGUUGUCCGGAAUUAUUGGGCGUAAAGGGCCCGCAGGCGGUUUCUUAAGUCUGAUGUGAAAGCCCCCGGCUCAACCGGGGAGGGUCAUUGGAAACUGGGAAACUUGAGUGCAGAAGAGGAGAGCGGAAUUCCACGUGUAGCGGUGAAAUGCGUAGAGAUGUGGAGGAACACCAGUGGCGAAGGCGACUCUCUGGUCUGUAACUGACGCUGAGGAGCGAAAGCGUGGGGAGCGAACAGGAUUAGAGACCCCCGUAGUCCCUGUCUCUUAUAC
rnacentral:rRNA from 1 species